rnacentral:lncRNA from 1 species
GAGGUUUUUUGACAGUCUUUAAUGGCUUAAAAUGCCUAAAGUUUUAUGGGAUUUGAAGUUCAGAUUGAUAUAUAGAGAGGUCUUUAAGGGCUGAAAAUGCCUAAAUUUUUCUGGGAUUUGAAGUUUAGAUUGAUAUAUAGAGAGUAAGUUGUUAAAGUUGUAAUCUUUUUAUGUUAUGUAAUCAUAAUAGUUGAAAAGAUUUGGUGCUUUUUUGGUUUGUUUUUUUUUUUUUUUUUUUUUGACUCAAUACAUUAUGUUGUUGUUUAACUUGUAGUCUUUUUGUAUUAUCUAAUCAUAAUAAUUG